rnacentral:rRNA from 1 species
AUGAAUGCCUUGGCUCUGAACUGUCGGGGAUGCGGGCGGCCCGAGACAGUUCAAGAAAUCCGCAACUUGAUUCAGUUGCUUUGUCCGAGUUUGAUCUUUCUCUCGGAGACCAAACUAUCAGCUACGAGAGCGCAAGAUCUAAGAUUUAGACUGGGAUUCAGACACGCGUUUGCUGUCAAUUCUGAGGGGCUCAGCGGUGGCCUCAUUUUGUUCUGGAAUGAUGACUCGGUGGUCAGUUUG